GACGAACGCUGGCGGCGUGCUUAACACAUGCAAGUCGAACGAAGUGGCGAACGGGUGAGUAACGCGUAAUCAACCUGCCCUUCAGAGGGGGACAACAGUUGGAAACGACUGCUCAUACCGCAUACUGAAGGAGGGGAUUGCGUCUGAUUAGCUAGUUGGAGGGGUACCGGCCCACCAAGGCGAUGAUCAGUAGCCGGUCUGAGGGGAGGAACGGCCAAAUUGGGACUGGGACACGGACCAGACUCCUACGGGAGGAAGCAGUGGGGAAUUUUCCGCAAGUGACGAAAGUCGGACGGAGCAACGCCGCGGGAGGGAUGACGGCCUUCGGGUUGUAAAGCUCUGUUAAUCGGGACGCGGUACCGGAAUAGAAAGCCACGGCUAACUACGUGCCAGCAGCCGCGGUAAUAC
rnacentral:rRNA from 1 species